rnacentral:rRNA from 1 species
CAUGCAGUCGAACGGCAGCACGGGUGCUUGCACCUGGUGGCGAGUGGCGAACGGGUGAGUAAUACAUCGGAACGUACCUUAUCGUGGGGGAUAACGCAGCGAAAGCUGUGCUAAUACCGCAUACGCCCUGAGGGGGAAAGCGGGGGAUCGAAAGACCUCGCGCGAUUAGAGCGGCCGAUGCCUGAUUAGCUUGUUGGUGGGGUAAAAGCCCACCAAGGCGACGAUCAGUAGCUGGUCUGAGAGGACGAUCAGCCACACUGGGACUGAGACACGGCCCAGACUCCUACGGGAGGCAGCAGUGGGGAAUUUUGGACAAUGGGGGCAACCCUGAUCCAGCAAUGCCGCGUGAGUGAAGAAGGCCUUCGGGUUGUAAAGCUCUUUUGUCAGGGAAGAAACACCGGCUCUAACACAGUCCGGGAAUGACGGUACCUGAAGAAUAAGCACCGGCUAACUACGUGCCAGCAGCCGCGGUAAUACGUAGGGUGCGAGCGUUAAUCGGAAUUACUGGGCGUAAAGCGUGCGCAGGCGGUUAUACAAGACAGGCGUGAAAUCCCCGGGCUUAACCUGGGAAUGGCGCCUGUGACUGUAUAGCUAGAGUGUGUCAGAGGGGGGUAGAAUUCCACAUGUAGCAGUGAAAUGCGUAGAUAUGUGGAGGAAUACCAAUGGCGAAAGCAGCCCCCUGGGAUAACACUGACGCUCAUGCACGAAAGCGUGGGGAGCAAACAGGAUUAGAUACCCUGGUAGUCCACGCCCUAAACGAUGCUGACUAGUUGUUCGGGAUUUACAUCCUGAGUAACGUAGCUACGCGUGAAGUCAGCGCCUGGGGAGUACGGUCGCAAGAUUAAAACUCAAAGGAAUUGACGGGACCCGCACAGCGUGGAUGAUGUGGAUUAAUUCGAUGCAACGCGAAAACUUACUACCCUUGACAUGUC